ACUUAUGCCGCCUGUAUAAACAUCAGGCCACUUACGUAGGCUACGUGGAGCCUAUGUUAUAUAAUGUUAUGUCAGAUGUGUUAGCACCAUAGACUGUGACACAAUUCAAAUUGUGUACAUUUGACAGCCUGCAUUAAUAGCCUAUUAUAAAAAAUUGGAUUAUAGCCGACCCAUUACUGCUUUAAUUCAAUUUUAUGGACUGUUUAAAAGGAUUUAUGCAGGCGUGUAACUAUCGGUAAGCAGGGUAAGCGGUGCUUACGGGCCAGACCAAUCAGGGGCCGCAUCACUGGAAGAUAUUGACAGCCGGGCCCCCUAUCGCAUUUUUAUUACUCGCGACAAUCCCAGCAGUCCCAUCCCAUGUGCAGCCACUGACCAAGCGGGAGUGAGAACGGGUCAAAUUAAUUUCCUUGUUUCUGUUAUGACAACGAGACGUGUGAACAUCUCACAUUUACCAACAAAACAUAGGCCUACAGCGAAAGACCGUGCAAAACAUUUCAGAAAGUCCUGCCCAGACAGCAAGCCAACAUUGAAUAAAUAUUGAUUUUCCAUCUGAAUCAUCAUUAUGGUUGACAUUGAAAUUUCAAUGCAAAAUAAAUGUUGAAUCACCAUUACCAUAUCGAUGAACCCUGAUGUUAUUAAUGUUGAUGGCAACAACAUUGGAACAACAUUGAUCUAUAGUUAUCUUUAUGAUUGAUUAAGCAUUGAUAUUUGGUUUACCGGGUGAUAUUGUCAAUGUGUUGAAAAAACAUUGAUUUAGAGUUGACCGGGAAACAACCUGUUGUUGAAAAGCCAUCAACAUAUAGUUGACCGGUGAAAACAAAAGCCGACUGCUUUGAAUGCCCGUUGCGAAAAACACGGUAAGUCCAGUGUCCAGUUUCCAGACUCCCUUGAUAUAUUGCUCAAUUUAACAGAUAAAUCAUAAUACACUGUAUAAAUUAUAGCGUAAUCAUAACAUUUUACUUUGUACUGCUCUUUAAGAAAUACUUGUUAUGUCGGCUGGCAUUUAACUUUUAGCUAGCUAAGCUCUUCUGCAAAAAUUAAGUUAGCCUACAUAAUGUUAGACAAGGUGGGCUUUUGAUAUUGGGAUAACGGGCCGUCGGACUAAGGGCUUUUCGGUCCAGUGGGAAGUUUUUUGGAUGUAUAUUUGAAGAGAGAGAUUGAGUCAUCGCUGAUAUUAUUAGACAUUAGCUCAUGUUAUAUUAGACGUUCAUUAAUGUUGGCUGCGGAGUUAGCCUACACAACCUUGUCGGUUACCGAAUGUGACGCUAAUCUAACAGUAGGCUACGUGUGUUGUGCAAUUUUGCAUCAUCAAGCUACAAUGGCAGAGGGAAAUCACAAUCGCCACAGCUGAAGACAGUGAUGACUAUCUCCUACACACAACUGUAAAGAAUAUUUUCAGAGAGUGCAUCCUGGUGAAGUAGGCUACAACAGAGAGAAAAGUGUGAUCCACGCCCAUGUGUGUUCUCCCUGCUUAUGGCACCCUUCAGAGAGAAACACGAGGGACUCAUUUUGAUAUGCCCUGACUCAACGACUGAGUAGCCUACGGUAAUUGCCUAUGAAUUCUCACAAGCUGGGCAGAAGUGGCUGCGCUACGCCCCAGACCGGGCGGGAGGAGCUGGACGACCGACACUGCAAUAGUUAGCUCGUUAAAA